AAUAAUCUAUGAUCUCAAUCCAAACGCAGUGGAGUUACAAAUGUUCCUGGAUUUAUGCUCUUGUAACAUGCACUCAUCGUUGGAAAUCAUUAUGGAGGAAGCUAACUGGCAAGUUAGAAUUUGAGGAUGCAGAUGCAGCCGAACAAGUGCAGAUGUCCUGUUAGUACCCUCUUCCCCUGGAAGGGAAACAUGCUGGGGCAGUCUCUUCUCUGACCACAUUGGUGAUGCAGGAUGCGGUUUUCCAAGGUUGCUCCUGCUGGUCUCCAACUCCUGAGCUCAAGUAAUCCUCCUGCCUCAGCCUCCCAAAGUGCUAGGAUUACAGGUAAGAGCCACUGCACCUGGCUCCUACUCUUUUUACUGAAACAAUUUAUCUUUAGUUACAGCUUGGUAUCAGAAUUUCUUUCAUUGUCUCUCUCCUCAUUCAAAUGUCCUCACCUAGCACUUAUUGUACAUUUCUAGAUAGCCUCUCCUCAUCCAUUUUACUUUUAAUUUUAGAUCUUCCUCUCCUGGUUCAUUACUUGCCACUAUCUAUGUCCACCUUGAUGUCUCUAAUCUGGCUCAUCUGAUGUUUGUCUAGUAUCUUUCCUUAGGUGUGGCGCAUGAGUGAUGGGCUCCCUGAGUUCCUGCGUACCCGUAUAUCUUUCUUUUGUCCUGACAGGUAAAUGAUGUCUUGCUUGGGAAUAGAACCCUUGGAGCGUGUAGAUGGGAUACCAUGGUCUUCCAGCUCCUAUUGCAGGCUGCUUUGUGUGGGAAAGCUGAUGGCAGACCAUGGAAAGACGGCCCAUCAUAGAACCACACACACGUGAUCACAGGCAUGACGCAAAACAAUGAAGCUUGGUACCUUCCUCUCGCCACAGGAUGUUUGCAACUGCAGCAGCAGAGAAUGAGGAAAGCAGGAGUGUGAUGGAGGGAAGGAAAAAGAAGAAAGCAGUGUUAAACUGUCACUGUAGUGAUUCCAUUUAUGAAGAUCCUGGUACCUAGUCCAUCACUUACAGAAUCUAUACCACUCAUUGCCCUGGGAACAGUAUCUUGGGGGAAGCUCUGGACAUGAACAAAUGCUUUCAGGUCUCCAGACCCUUUUGAUUCUUAAGUGAAUCUUUGAAAUCAUGCCCUAGGACCACAGAAGCUAAUGGAAUUUCUCACAUUUCAUGGAUGAUCAAGAGUAAGCAACAUCUCUCCCAGAUUUCCUGGACAACCAGCAGGAGAAGUGACUUUCAACUAGGAUUCUCCUAAGAUGACCACGUGAAAUACUUCUGAUUAUCUACUUUGAUGAAAAUGGCUUAGCCUGGAGUCUUUGACCAUGAUUAACACCCAUGUCUAUGAAAUCACACCUGCAGGCCUACCUGGGGAGCGGUGGUUAUGAGGAGAGCACGCUUAGCACACCAAUGGGCUGGACCCCUAGCGUAAAGGCUACCACACUCCCAGUGGUGUGCAUGUGUGCACAGGUCAGGUUCUGGGCCACUGUGGGACAUCAUGUGGAUGAAGGGCAGAGGUUCAGGGCAUACAGCAAGUAAAAAGCAGAGCUGGGACUCGACUAUUUGGGCUUCCUUGUGUUCCUGGGCUCUGUCUGCUGUCCAGGGAAUCUCCCUGUCUGUUUCCAGAGUUGUUCUAGGUUGCCAGGGAAGGCCUGCUCACCUCUGGGUGCCCUCCAAUUCCAGCUUUAUGCAAAGAGGGAUAUGAGGCUUACCCCUGUCUUCACGGGCUCAUGGUUGGCAGCUGUGGCCCUGGUCAAUUGGUGCCCUCCCUUGCCACCCAACACCUCCCAGCCAGCUCAGUGAGAAGCAUAAACGUGUGUCGACUUACGGGUCUUUCUAGCUGAGUCUUCAAUGAAGAGCGAGGAGAUAUCUUCAUCCACACCCACUUCAUUUUUGGCAAUGCAGGUGUACGCCCCUGUGUCUUCAUACCGAACACUGCUGAUGUGGAGUUCGCUCCCAUUGGCUGCAGACAGGACAGCGCUCAGGGUGGACUGCUUAGCUGGAGACCCACUCACUUUCCUUUAUGGGGCCGUUGAGAGUGUUAGGGCUGCCCAGCCUCUGGGCAGCCAGCAGCCCUGAUUAUACGCCCAGGAAGGGCUGGCACAUCUGAAAUGCACUGAGGGUGAGCUGGACCUGAGUGACAGCUUCUCAUCAUUGCUCUCAGAAAGCCCCAAAAGAUCUGUGUGAGCCCAGAUAACAGGGAAAUUUGGGAGCCAUCUGUUCACUCCUAACCUGUCUGACUUAUAAACAAAUUAUACCUCUCAUUUCCAUUCCUGGAGUCUCAGCUUGAUUUGAAUGGGAAUAUCGCAUAGACGUCUACCAAGGGCAGUUCUUACCUAAAAGGGAGAGCUGUUUAGACAUCUGAGUUGAGACAUCCAUGCCGUUCUUCAGCCAAGUGAUUCUGGGCAUGGGAAUGCCCUCAGCAUGGCAUCUCAGGCUGGCUGCCACUCCGGGCUCCUGUGCCUGGCUCUCUGGAUAGACACGGAUGACUGGCGGCACUGUGGGUGAGAGUCAGUGCUGGUGAGAAAGAGACGGCCCUGACCUGGACUUGGGCCUGUGGCCCAACCUGAGACCCUGCUCCAGAGGGGGUGAACCCAAGAGGUGACUGGAGUUCUGUGUUUAACCAGAUUAUAAUAAUCCUGUCCAGCAACUCAAGCUCUAAAAGAAAGGGCUAUAAAAUGGAUUGCAGAUAAUAAACAUGUCAGA
rnacentral:lncRNA from 1 species